CUGGAUUCCCACCUUCGGAUCCUUUGACACCAUCUCCAGAGACAUCAGGACUGAGGACGGGACCGUGACUCUGCGGUGGCCCGUCUUUCACUUGUCUGGAAACCUCAUAGCCGUGCACCACCUCAAGCCCCGCAGGGAGUCCCUGCCAGCCCAUAGGAAGCUGGAGCCGCUCAAGAGCAGCGAGGUGGCCGCAGCUGCCUCUGUGACCUGGCAGACAGCGCAGGCUUGCAUCCAAAGCACCGUUGUCCCUGCUCUCUGGCUGCCUGAAGAAUGGGGAGAACGUUGCCGUUGUCUUCAAGGACAUUGGAGUGCUCCACAUCGAUGGACUGACCUUCCACAUGAAAUUCUAUUACGACUUCCUUGAGAAGCUGUCAGGGAAAGAGAAGUUCAGGAAAGCUCUUCUCAAGGCCCCCUGGCUGCUGGACAUGGUGGUGUCCCGAGCGGCACCGGUGGCCUCCCUGGCACUCUCUGGCUGCCUCGUCGUCUUUCCCAAGUGAGUAUGUUGGGGGCUGUAGCUGCUGCUUGCUGCAGCUGCUCAGCUCUCAUGCCGUAGCAUUUGUUCCUUGUGACCAUGGGUGUCCCUGCCCUGCCCACGAGGAUAUGGCAUAGAAUCAUCGCAUCAUUUGAGCUGGAAGGAACCCGGAAAGGGCACCUAGUCCCACUCCCCUGCAGGGAACAGGGGACACCUACC